UCAUGCAAACCCAGUCCAAAAAUACUUGUCAUUACAGUUUUGGACACUCACAAGCACCUUCUCGAAGCCAAAGCAAACCCAACCAUCGCUUCUAAUUCCGACCAACUGUGACUUCCAAUCCUCAGUUCUUUCUAAAUCCGACAAAAACCAUAAACACACAAUUAAUCAAAGUUUCCUAAAAAACCCAUCAAGGGUGAUUUAUAAUAAUUGAAUGAAAAUAAAAGAUGCCACCGAAGCAGCAAUCAAAAGCAGAUUUAGCAAAGAAGCAGAAGAUCAUCGAAGACAAAACCUUCGGUUUAAAGAAUAAAAACAAGUCCAAGAAUGUCCAAAAAUAUGUUCAAUCCCUUAAACAAACUGUCCAGCCUAAAAUUGAUCCCAAAAAAGUUGAUUCCAAGAAAAAGAAGGAAGAAGAGAAGGCUAAAGAGAAAGAGCUGAAUGAAUUGUUCAAGGUUGCUAUUAGUCAGCCAAAAGUCCCUAUUGGUGUUGAUCCAAAAUCUAUCUUGUGCGAGUUCUUUAAGGCAGGGCAAUGUGCUAAGGGUUUUAAGUGUAAGUUCUCCCACGAUUUGAAUGUUCAGAGAAAAGGAGAGAAGAUUGACAUUUUCAGUGAUAAGCGUGAUGAAGAAAAAGAAAAGGGAACGAUGGAGGAGUGGGAUCAGGAGACUUUGGAGAAGGUUGUGGCAUCAAAAAGCCAUGAGUAUAACAAGAACAAACCUACUGAUAUAGUAUGUAAAUACUUUUUGGAAGCUGUGGAGAAGAAGCAAUAUGGUUGGUUUUGGGUUUGUCCAAAUGGUGGUAAGGAUUGUCACUAUAGACAUGCUCUUCCCCCCGGAUAUAUUCUAAAAUCACAAAUGAAAGCUCUCUUGGAAGAGGAAACUGAUAAGAUGCCUAUUGAGGAAGAGAUCGAAGACCAGCGUACAAAAUUAACUUCUUCAACUCCUUUGACCCCUGAGUUGUUCAUGAAAUGGAAAAAGAAGAAGAUGGAAGAACGAGAGGCCAAUUCGGAUAAACUGAGGGCAGAUAGAGCCAAAAAUGAUCGCAUGAGUGGUCGUGAGCUGUUCAUGUCGGAUUCUAGCUGGUUUGUGGAUGAUGUUGGGGCCUAUGACGAGUACGAAAGGGAAAAAGAGUCCGGCGAGCCAAAGAUGGAUCAAGAUUCUGCUAAAGGCCAGCUAAACACCUUAACAACAUCCCAGGACAGUCAUGAUGGUAAAAACAUUCCUGAUAAUGAUGAGUUGGAUGACGAGGAUGAUGACCUGGAUGUGGAUGAGUUAAAUGAACUGGAAGCAAGUCUUUCAAAGACGUCAUUGCAAAUUAAUGAACCUGCUGGUCAUGCUUGAUCCUGGGAGCUAAGUGGCCUGAAAGUCCAUGCACAAGACUGUUAGAUUCUCAAGGGACCUCAUUUGUCAAAGCUUGCUGUCACUUCCCUUGAUGGUUUGCUAUAGAUCUGGAUCUCUCUGGUAUCUGGCAACAUUCAUAGUAAGUUUGACGUCAACUUUGAUAAAAGCAAACUGUGAACUAAGCAAAUGGGAACUAGCAGAAGGAAGGGAAUGCAACAAUGAGCCACAUCUAGCCCUCUAUGCAUGAAAAAUGCUACAAGUUGAACCUUUUUCAGAAUGUGGAAUCUUUGGUAAUAAUAAGCACUUUAUGUGUCUUAACGUCAACCAAUAUAUUUAUGUGGUUAAGUUAAAAUGGUCCCUUGAAGUAAUAUAUAUAUUGUCUCAAAUUA